GGGGGUGUAGCUUCAUGGUAGAGUAUUUGCCUACCAUGUGCAAGACCCUAUGUUUGAAUCAUAGCAUCACAA
rnacentral:tRNA from 1 species